rnacentral:rRNA from 1 species
UACGAAGGGGGCUAGCGUUGUUCGGAAUUACUGGGCGUAAGGCGUGCGCAGGCGGUCUGCUAAGAGAGGUGUGAAAUCCCCGGGCUUAACCUGGGAACUGCGCUUCUAACUGGCAGGCUAGAGUGUGGCAGAGGGGGGUGGAAUUCCACGUGUAGCAGUGAAAUGCGUAGAGAUGUGGAGGAACACCGAUGGCGAAGGCAGCCCCCUGGGCUAACACUGACGCUCAUGCACGAAAGCGUGGGGAGCAACAGG